rnacentral:rRNA from 1 species
GAUGAACGCUGGCGGCGUGCCUAAUACAUGCAAGUCGAGCGAAUGGAUUAAGAGCUUGCUCUUAUGAAGUUAGCGGCGGACGGGUGAGUAACACGUGGGUAACCUGCCCAUAAGACUGGGAUAACUCCGGGAAACCGGGGCUAAUACCGGAUAACAUUUUGAACCGCAUGGUUCGAAAUUGAAAGGCGGCUUCGGCUGUCACUUAUGGAUGGACCCGCGUCGCAUUAGCUAGUUGGGGAGGUAACGGCUCACCAAGGCAACGAUGCGUAGCCGACCGGAGAGGGUGAUCGGCCACACUGGGACUGAGACCAGGCCCAGACUCCUACGGGAGGCAGCAGUAGGGAAUCUUCCGCAAUGGACGAAAGUCUGACGGAGCAACGCCGCGUGAGUGAUGAAGGCUUUCGGGUCGUAAAACUCUGUUGUUAGGGAAGAACAAGUGCUAGUUGAAUAAGCUGGCACCUUGACGGUACCUAACCAGAAAGCCACGGCUAACUACGUGCCAGCCGCCGCCGUAA